AGAGUUUGAUUCUGGCUCAGGAUGAACGCUAGCGACAGGCUUAACACAUGCAAGUCGAGGGGCAGCACGGGAGUAGCAAUACAACUGGUGGCGACCGGCGCACGGGUGAGUAACGCGUAUGCAACCUACCUAUCAGAGGGGAAUAACCCGGCGAAAGUCGGACUAAUACCGCAUAAAACAGGGGCACCGCAUGGUGAUAUUUGUUAAAGAAAUUCGCUGAUAGAUGGGCAUGCGUUCCAUUAGGUAGUUGGUGAGGUAACGGCUCACCAAGCCGACGAUGGAUAGGGGAACUGAGAGGUUGGUCCCCCACACUGGUACUGAGACACGGACCAGACUCCUACGGGAGGCAGCAGUGAGGAAUAUUGGUCAAUGGGCGAGAGCCUGAACCGGCCAAGUCGCGUGAAGGAAAAGAAGGAUCUAUGGUUCGUAAACUUCUUUUGCAGGGGAAUAAAGUGCAGGACGUGUCCUGUUUUGUAUGUACCCUGAGAAUAAGGAUCGGCUAACUCCGUGCCAGCAGCAGC
rnacentral:rRNA from 1 species